rnacentral:rRNA from 1 species
AACGAACGCUGGCGGCAUGCCUAACACAUGCAAGUCGAACGAGACCUUCGGGUCUAGUGGCGCACGGGUGCGUAACGCGUGGGAACCUGCCCUUAGGUUCGGAAUAACUCCCCGAAAGGGGUGCUAAUACCGGAUAAUGUCUUCGGACCAAAGAUUUAUCGCCUUUGGAUGGGCCCGCGUUGGAUUAGCUAGUUGGUAGGGUAAAAGCCUACCAAGGCGACGAUCCAUAGCUGGUCUGAGAGGAUGAUCAGCCACACUGGGACUGAGACACGGCCCAGACUCCUACGGGAGGCAGCAGUGGGGAAUAUUGGACAAUGGGCGAAAGCCGGAUCCAGCAAUGCCGCGUGAGGGAUGAAGGCCUUAGGGUUGUAAAGCUCUUUUACCCGGGAUGAUAAUGACAGUACCGGGAGAAUAAGCUCCGGCUAACUCCG